GACGUCAAAUCAUCAUGCCCCUUAUGCUUAGGGCUACACACGUGCUACAAUGGGUAGUACAGAGGGUUGCCAAGCCGUAAGGUGGAGCUAAUCCCUUAAAGCUACUCUCAGUUCGGAUUGUAGGCUGAAACUCGCCUACAUGAAGCUGGAGUUACUAGUAAUCGCAGAUCAGAAUGCUGCGGUGAAUGCGUUCCCGGGUCUUGUACACACCGCCCGUCACACCACGGGAGUUGGAGACGCCCGAAGCCGACUAUCUAACCUUUUGGAAGAAGUCGUCGAAGGUGGAAUCAAUAACUGGGGUGAAGUCGUAACAAGGUAGCCGUAUCGGAAGGUGCGGCUGGAUCACCUCCUUUCUAAGGAGA
rnacentral:rRNA from 1 species